rnacentral:sRNA from 1 species
UUGUACCACUUGUACGCUCCGGUUAUUGCGCGCCGUCCGCACCCACCCGGCGACUGCGCGUGACGUUUUGUUGGCC